UACAGAGGUCCCGAGCGUUGUUCGGAUUCACUGGGCGUAAAGGGUGCGUAGGUGGUGAGGUAAGUCGGAUGUGAAAUCUCCGGGCUCAACCCGGAAAUGGCAUUGGAAACUACCUUGCUAGAGGAUUUGAGGGGGGAUUGGAAUACUUGGUGUAGCAGUGAAAUGCGUAGAUAUCAAGUGGAACACCAGUGGCGAAGGCGAAUCCCUGGAAGAUACCUGACACUGAGGCACGAAAGCUAGGGGAGCAAACAGG
rnacentral:rRNA from 1 species